UAGAAGAGGAAAUAAAUCAGGAUUUAGAAUUUCAUUUUUAUAUCGCUCACUGGAGUCAACUGAAGGCCAAUUUUUGUGCUUGAUAUUGGUUUAGAUGAAAGUUUUCAGUUUCUUGUCGUUUGAGUUGUUGUUGAUGCUGAGAAAACUGUAGCAAGAGAAAGGGAGGAACAGUCAAAUUGUUGAUUUCCAAGGGUUUUGAUGUCAGUUAUAUUGACUGUUGCAUUUGUUUUGUUGGAAACCAAAAUGUGGAAUCUGAAGUAUUAAUUUUCUGCAGUUACACACUUGAAUUUUUGAAAAAUGGGAAUUUGUUCUUUAAUUUUGCCAUUUUCAAAGGACAUAGUAACAGGACAACCAAAUAAUCCUAAAAGUUUCAGUCUUUAUGUUAUUAACAGGAUCAGCUUCUGUUGUCAAUUUCUUCACUGACGUUUCCAUGUGCUCCUAUAUUUCUUUUACACCUCUGACCACAGUUUUGCAGGUUCACACGAAUUA
rnacentral:misc_RNA from 1 species